rnacentral:lncRNA from 1 species
GGGGGAGGGUCAACCCCAAAGUGUGCCUGUCGUUUUCCUAAAACUUUUGAAGUUUUACAAUUUUGUGUUCAAAACAUCUGUUAGUUAAGUAAUAUUAUCGGUCGCCUUAUCAGUAUGAAAUGACAGAUUUAUAGCCCUACUUAACCAUUUUAUAAUUGAGAGAAGAUAUGAAAUUUUCACUUUCUUGUGCAUGGAUUUAGGACUGGGUCGGCAUCGACUUGAAUUUUUGUGUCUAUCUUAUGUUAUUCACCUCAUAUGACAGUUGAAUCAAAAUUUAAAUUUUAAAGUACAAAAAAAGGCCUUUUUCUGAUAUCUAUAAACAUUUUUAGCUCAUAAAGUAGAAAAAAAAACAUGCAACAAUUACAAAUGAUAUUAUACCAAAAACAGUGAUACUAUUAUUCCCC